rnacentral:lncRNA from 1 species
UCUAAAGCUGCUCGGAAUACACACACAUUACAUGUGCAAUAAUCUGUUUAGAAAUUCAUAAUAGAAUUUGGUGUUGCGAAAUAAAAAUCUCUCUUGUUAGAAUAUAAUAACAAAAUUUAAAGUGCGAAAUACGAGCUUUUUUUUAGAGUUGCAGAAAUCCGAUCUGAUUGGCAACAACAGAGAUCGAUCAUGAGUUAUUACAAUCAGAAUAAUCAACCGCCACCCGUCGGCGUUCCUUCUCCUCAAGGCAUGCAUUCAAACUCUCCUCUUCAAUUUCAUGCAUAUUUAUAUAUGAUCCGAUCCAUCGCAUUAUUAAUUUUAUUUGGCCUUGAUCUAAUGUUACAGGAUAUCCUCCGCGCCGCCGGAGGGAUAUCCGAAGGAGGGUUAUCCGCCGCAGGGGUACCCGCCCCCAGGUUACCCACCCC